GACGAACGCUGGCGGCGUGCUUAACACAUGCAAGUCGAACGGAAAGGCCCGGCUUUUGUGGGGUGCUCGAGUGGCGAACGGGUGAGUAACACGUGAGUAACCUGCCCUUGACUUUGGGAUAACUUCAGGAAACUGGGGCUAAUACCGGAUAGGGGCUCCUGCUGCAUGGUGGGGGUUGGAAAGUUUCGGCGGUUGGGGAUGGACUCGCGGCUUAUCAGCUUGUUGGUGGGGUAGUGGCUUACCAAGGCUUUGACGGGUAGCCGGCCUGAGAGGGUGACCGGCCACAUUGGGACUGAGAUACGGCCCAGACUCCUACGGGAGGCAGCAGUGGGGAAUAUUGCACAAUGGGCGGAAGCCUGAUGCAGCAACGCCGCGUGCGGGAUGACGGCCUUCGGGUUGUAAACCGCUUUCGCCUGUGACGAAGCGUGAGUGACGGUAAUGGGUAAAGAAGCACCGGCUAACUACGUG
rnacentral:rRNA from 1 species